rnacentral:rRNA from 1 species
GAAUCUUGCGCAAUGGCCUAACGGCUGACGCAGCGACGCCGCGUGAGGGAUGACGCUCUUCGGAGUGUAAACCUCUUUUGUCUGAGACGAAUUGUCAGCAUUCGCUGAUUUGACGGUAUCGGGCGACUAAGCACCGGCUAACUCCGUGCCAGCCGCCGCGGUAAUACGGGGGGUGCGAGCGUUGUCCGGAAUCACUGGGCGUAAAGGGCGGGUAGGUGGUCUUAGAAGGGUGUGGUGAAAGCCCGGGGCUCGACCCCGGGUCGGCCGUGCCGACUGUAAGACUGGAGUGCUGUAGGGGCAGGCGGAAUUCCGGGUGUAGCGGUGGAAUGCGUAGAGAUCCGGAGGAAGACCGGUGGCGAAGGCGGCCUGCUGGGCAGUUACUGACACUGAGGCGCGACAGCGUGGGGAGCAAACAGG